GAUGAACGCUGGCGGCGUGCCUAAUACAUGCAAGUCGAGCGAACAGAUGAGGAGCUUGCUCCUCUGACGUUAGCGGCGGACGGGUGAGUAACACGUGGAUAACCUACCUAUAAGACUGGGAUAACUUCGGGAAACCGGAGCUAAUACCGGAUAAUCUAUUGAACCGCAUGGUUCAAUAGUGAACGACGGUUUUGCUGUCACUUAUAGAUGGAUCCGCGCCGCAUUAGCUAGUUGGUAAGGUAACGGCUUACCAAGGCAACGAUGCGUAGCCGACCGGAGAGGGGGGUAGGCCACACGGGAACUGAGACACGGUCCAGACUCCUACGGGAGGCAGCAGUAGGGAAUCUGCCGCAGUGGGCGAAAGCCUGACGGAGCAACGCAGCGUGAGUGAUGAAGGUCUUCGGAUCGUAAAACUCUGUUAUGAGGGAAGAACAAAUGUGUAAGUAACUAUGCACGUCUUGACGGUACCUAAUCAGAAAGCCACGGCUAACUACGUG
rnacentral:rRNA from 1 species